rnacentral:rRNA from 1 species
AGCAGCCGCGGUAAUUCCAGCUCCAAUAGCGUAUAUUAAAGUUGUUGCAGUUAAAAAGCUCGUAGUUGAAUUUCGGGAUCAGUACGCUGGUCGUGCCUUCGGUAUGUACUGGUGUUACUGGUUCCUACCUUCUGACGAACCGCCAUGUCAUUAAUUUGGUGUGGCGGGGAAUCAGGACUGUUACUUUGAAAAAAAUUAGAGUGUUUAAAGCAGGCUCGCGCUUGAAUACAUUAGCAUGGAAUAAUGAAAUAGGACGUUCGAUCCUAUUUUGUUGGUUUCUAGGAUUGACGUAAUGAUUAAUAGGGAUAGUUGGGGGGCAUUAGUAUUCAAUUGUCAGAGGUGAAAUUCUUGGAUUUAUUGAAGACUAACUACUGCGAAAGCAUUUGCCAAGGAUGUUUUCAUUAAUCAAGAACGAAAGUUAGGGGAUCGAAGACGAUCAGAUACCGUCGUAGUCUUAACCAUAAACUAUGCCGACUAGGGAUCGGAUGAUGUUAAUUUUUAAUGACUCAUUCGGCGUCCG